rnacentral:rRNA from 1 species
GAGACGCUGGCGGCGCGCCUAACACAUGCAAGUCGAGCGGAGAUAUACGAAGAGUAAUCCGAGUAUAUCUUAGCGGCGGACGGGUGAGUAACGCGUGAGUGACCUGCCUCUUACAGGGGAAUAACGUGCCGAAAGGCACACUAAUACCGCAUAAGACCACGAAACCGCAUGGUUAUGAGGUCAAAGGAGCAAUCCGGUAAGAGAUGGGCUCGCGUCCGAUUAGAUAGUUGGUGAGGUAACGGCCCACCAAGUCGACGAUCGGUAGCCGACCUGAGAGGGUGAUCGGCCACAUUGGAACUGAGAGACGGUCCAAACUCCUACGGGAGGCAGCAGUGGGGAAUAUUGGGCAAUGGGGGAAACCCUGACCCAGCGACGCCGCGUGAGGGAAGAAGGUUUUCGGAUUGUAAACCUCUGUUCUUGGUGAAGAGGGGAAGACGGUAGCCAAGGAGGAAGCCCCGGCUAACUACGUG